UACGUAGGGGGCUAGCGUUGUCCGGAUUUAUUGGGCGUAAAGAGCGUGUAGGCGGCCAGGUAGGUCUGCUGUGAAAACUCGAGGCUCAACCUCGAGACGUCGGCGGAAACCAUCUGGCUAGAGUCCGGAAGAGGAGAGUGGAAUUCCUGGUGUAGCGGUGAAAUGCGCAGAUAUCAGGAAGAACACCCGUGGCGAAGGCGGCUCUCUGGGACGGUACUGACGCUGAGACGCGAAAGCGUGGGGAGAACAGG
rnacentral:rRNA from 1 species